rnacentral:rRNA from 1 species
AUUGAACGCUGGCGGCGUGCUUAACACAUGCAAGUCGAUCGGUAACGCGGGGGCAACCCUGGCGACGAGAGGCGGACGGGUGAGGAACGCUUGGGAAUCUGCCUAUCAGCGGGGGACAACCCGGGGAAACUCGGGCUAAUACCGCAUACGCUCUACGGAGGAAAGCCGGGGACCGCAAGGCCUGGCACUGAUAGAUGAGCCCAAGUCGGAUUAGCUAGUUGGCGGGGUAACGGCCCACCAAGGCGACGAUCCGUAGCUGGUCUGAGAGGACGAUCAGCCACACUGGGACUGAGACACGGCCCAGACUCCUACGGGAGGCAGCAGUGGGGAAUAUUGGACAAUGGGGGAAACCCUGAUCCAGCGACGCCGCGUGGGUGAAGAAGGCCUGCGGGUUGUAAAGCCCUUUCGGUAGGGACGAAAGCUCUCGACCUAACACGUCGGGAGGUUGACUUAACCUACAAAAGAAGCACCGGCUAACUCUGUGCCAGCAGCCGCCGUAACAC